CCGACUUUAGCUCAGUUGGAAGAGCGCGAGACUGUAAUUGGUUGAAUAUCUUGAGGUCGCCUGUUCGAGCCAGGCAAGUCGGA
rnacentral:tRNA from 1 species